CCAAAAAUCACGCGUUUUCUCUUUGAGAAUCCCCCAUUUAAGCAAAAAUCACACGCUUCCUCUUUGCAAAUCCUUCAUUUAAGAGAAAAUCAUGCUUUUUCUCUUUGAUAAUCACCCAUUUAACUUGAAAAUCACGCGUUUUCUCUUCGGAAACCCCCCAUUUAACCCAAAAAACACGCAUUUUCUCUUCGAGAAUCCCCCAUUUAGACCAAAAAUCACGCAUAUUCUGUUUGAGAAUCCCCCAUUUAAGAGAAAAUCAUGCGUUUUUUUCUUUGAGAAUCCCCCACUUAAGCUGAAAAUCACGCGGUUUCUCUUCGGAAAUCCCCCAUUUAAGCGAAAAUCCCGCGCUUCCUCUUCGCAAAUCCUUCAUUCAAGCGAAAAUCAGGUGGUUUCUCUUCGACAAUCCCCCAUUAAACCCAAAAAUCACGCGUUUUCUCAUCAAGAAUCUCCCAUUUAAGAGAAAAUCAUGCUUUUUCUCUUUGAUAAUCACCCAUUUAAGAGAAAAUCACGCGGUUUCUACUUGGAAAUCCGCCAUUUAAGAAAAAAUCACGCGUUUUUUUCUUCGGAAAUUCCCCAUUUAAGCAAAAAUCACGCGUUUUCUCUUCGACAAUCCCCCAUUUAACCAAAAAAUCACGCAUUUUCUCUUCACAAAUCCCCCAUUUAAACCGAAAAUCACGCGUUUUCUCUUCGAGAAUCCCCCAUUUUAGUGAAAAUCACGCGUUUUCUCUUCAAGAAUCCCCCAUUUAACCCGAAAAUCACGCGCUUUCUCUUCAAGAAUCCCCCAUUAAACAAAAAAUCACGCGUUUUCUCUUCGAGAAUCCCGUUUAUCUCAAAAAUGACGCAUUUUUUUCUUCUAAAAUCCCC
rnacentral:lncRNA from 1 species